AUUGAACGCUGGCGGCAGGCCUAACACAUGCAAGUCGAGCGAGCGGCGGACGGGUGAGUAAUGUAUGGGGACUGCCCGAUAGAGGGGGAUAACUACUGGAAACGGUGGCUAAUACCGCAUACUAUCGGAUAACCCAUAUGGGAUUAGCUAGUAGGUGGGGUAAAGGCUCACCUAGGCGACGAUCCCUAGCUGGUCUGAGAGGAUGACCGGCCACACGGGAACUGAGACACGGUCCAGAAUCCUACGGAGGCAGCAGGGGGGAAUAUGGCACAAUGGGCGAAAGCCUGAUGCAGCCAUGCCGCGUGUAUGAAGAAGGCACUAGGGGUGUAAAGUACUUUCAGUCGGGAGGCGUUACCGGCAGAAGAAGCACCGGCUAACUCCGUGCCAGCAGCCGCGGUAAUUC
rnacentral:rRNA from 1 species